AGAAAUGGUGAGCUGGGCGGGGGCAUCGUAAGGUGCGCCAGUUUUUGGGUGACUGGUCUGUCAACCCCAUCCAGCUCAGCACCUAC
ncrna:Yersinia enterocolitica subsp. enterocolitica 8081 C4 antisense RNA